UACAUGUGGGGCAAGCGUUGUUCGGAAUUACUGGGCAUAAAGGGUGCGUAGGCGGCUUGUUAAGUCAGGGGUGAAAGUUUUCGGCCCAACCGGAAAAUUGCCCUUGAUACUGGCGAGCUCGAGUGCGUGAGGGGUAACCGGAACGAGCAGUGUAGCGGUGAAAUGCGUAGAUAUUGCUCGGAAGGCCAACGGCGAAGGCAGGUUACUGGUACGCAACUGACGCUGAGGCACGAAAGCGUGGGGAGCAAACAGG
rnacentral:rRNA from 1 species